AAUGCCUUAAUUUGUGGCAAAAUUGCUUACAUCCAAAAUCUUCAGGAAAAGUUGAGAUAGGCUUCAGAAAAUGACAUUUGUAGUCAGAAAUCAUUCAACAGCAAAGUUUGUGCACUUUGAUGGGGAAAAGAUUUUAUACCUGCCUAAGUUCUUUCCCCUCAUCUGACUGUGCAGGCUACCAUGAGGUUUUUGCUACAGAUCAACCAGUCUGGUAACCUGAGAGAACGUAUGGCUUGUCCCACCAUUCCAGCCUUGCCUGUGCAUGGCCAUAGCUCAGUAUGGAGGGAAAACCUAGAGAACCCCUUGUCAGAAUAUUCUUGGAAUGGUAUUUCAUGUUCUACAUUUCCUUUCUCUGGCUGGCUGAUCUUUGUAGGGGUAAGUUUUCCCCUUCAUUUUCUUUUAACAGCCUGUGUAUAUUAAUAUAGUUUUUAAAAAGGUGACUGAUGAUAUUCUAUUAAAAAUAAUCAUGGAAAGUCUUA